UGGGGGUCAUCCUAGACAAAGUUGAAUCUCUAGGGUCGGUCCAAAGACACAAAACGUGUUGCCCAGAAAGGUAGCAACCAAAGGGGGGGAGUGAAUUGGAUUCUUUAAAAAUUUUAAUCAAACUAAUAAUCUAAAAAAAUAUGUGCUCAAAUUAAACUUAUUUAAGUGUUUUAAAGAAUAAACAAUGUGUUGUAGUGGAAUA
rnacentral:lncRNA from 1 species